CACAAAAAUGAUACAUGCAUACAAAUAGGAUUAAUAGAUGCAGUAGAUCAUAACCUUUGCAUAGAUAUGUUACAUGGCAUAUGUAGAAUAGAACAUAUUCCAGUUUUGUCAUAUAUAUGCAUAAGUGUAUUUCCAUAAAGCCUUAUGGUGGGCACCGUCACAGGGGUUUCUACAAGAGAUCCCUUCUGUAUCUGAGUAUGUUCCAUGCCUAUUACUGAAGAUGAGUUGGCUGCAGGGUGGAUAAAAAUUAAUACUUUUAAAAAUGGAUUUUUAAAAUUUAAAUUACAUUUUAAAAAAACUAUUCAAAAUUUAAAUUUGAGAUUGACAACCUAUGUUAAGACAUUAAUUUACUAUAAUCUAUUUAAAACCAAUUAAAUUAAAUAUUCAAGCAGCACAUAUUUGCUGGUAAAAUUUAAAGAGUCAUGUUGCUGAAAUGUUGAAAGUCACUGGCUAAGCACCUGGAAUUAGAGUUUGCUGAAGCGCUAAACUACCUUUUGAUAGCAGUAGUCUCUUCAGGUGUAGACAACACACUCCAUUUCUGUUUGUUCAUGCAUUUCAUUUCAGUGACUAAUCCAUUUAAAACUGAGAUGCUGAUUGGCAGCUGAAAGAGCAGGAAAGCUUGCUUUUUCUCUUCCAAUCUAUGAAUAAAAUCGGGAUGUGAUGUACUAGUUUUAAAAUCUUGAAGAACAUGAAGACCAGAAACAAUUGGAACUAUAGCUAAUACUUCCUUUUUAUUUAAUAAAUAUUUUAGUUUUAAAUAUAAAAUAUAUCUUGAUAAACUUUUUUUUCUUGCCUAUCCAGUGAAUUUAAGAUGGGUUUUAUUUAACGAAAACCACAAAACCCCGCCAUUUUAAAGUUAUCUUUAAUUCUAAUUUUCCAUCUACAUGCAGCUGGAAAAACAUCACACGCAACAUAUGAAUCAUUUAGUAAAUAAGAUGCCAGAGACCAUUUUUAACAUAAUAAAUAUAAGAAUCUGAAUAAACGUCUUAAGCUAUAUAAUUAAAUAGAUAUAGCAUUUCCUCCUUAUUAGCAAAAAGUACCACCAGACUUAGAGUAAAGGCUAUAUUUAAUUAAAAAUCAAUAUAUUUACCAACCAAUGAGAUUCAACUUUUCAUUAGAAGGACUAAAAAGUGCAAAUGCAAAAUGAGAUUAAAAUUCUUUAUUUAAAUAUUUCCUGCUUGCUGAUUUAAAUCAUGAUCAAAAUCAAUGAGUUAAAACAAUUCAUCCUAUUUGACUGGAGGCCAGCAUUUGGCCCACAUUCCUGUGCAUUACCUGCUGGAGCCAGUGUUUUGGUAUGGUAACAAAGUAAAAUAAACUCUUUAGCUGGCUGUGCAGUUCCCACAUAUUCAGUUCCCUAUGCCAAUUCAGAAGAUAUCCAGACUCUGACCCAUACAUUAGGUAAGACCCUUGCACGUCUUGGAUGUUUGGUCAGUAAAUCAUGCUGCCUAUUUUCCCUUUGGUUAUUUAUGCAAAAGAAAGAAGACCGAAGAAAGUGCUUUAACUUGUCCAUGUGCUUCUCAAAGGUCACAGAAGUCACGGGUUUUGUGACUUCUGCAGCAGCCAGUGUGGCUGACCUCAGGACGGCUCAGGCAGCUGGCUCCAGGACCAGCUGCUCAGAUGGCUCUGGGGACAGCCACACCAGCAGUUGCUGGACCAGCUCUGCACCCAGCUGCUCGGGCGGCCCCGCAGCUCGGUGCACUGGCUGCUGCUGGAGUGGUGUUCCCCCUGAGCAGCAGCCCCCCCCCCCCCGCACCCCAGCAUCAGUGUCUCUCCUCCCCCCUACCCCCCAUUUAGUCAUGGAUAUUUUUAGUAAAAGCCUUAGACAGGUCACUGGCCAUGAAUUUUUGUUUAUUGCCUAUGACCUGUUCAUGACUUUUACUAAAAAUACCCAUGACUAAAUCAUAGCCUUAGUCAUGAAGACUAUACAAGAUGAUUGAGCUAAACAAAGUUUAAGCAUGUAGAAAUGUUUACAUAAAUGGCUUAAAAAAAGAGAGAGAUUACAGUAACUUAAAUGUUUCGAAAACAAACUGGAUAUAGGUACAAACGGCUAUGACUGAGCACAAGUUAAAACAACAGAAAGUAAAGACUAACUAUUAAUGUGCAAAAUAACUAGGUGAAGGAAAAUGUAUAUCUUAAAAAUAAUUGCAUACUAUUUCUUCAAUGUCACUUUAUCCUUUUUGGUUUGUUAAGACUGUAAAUUCUUGUCAUCCAUAUGUUAGGAAAGAAUCUAGUGACUUUUGGACACUAUAUUAAAAAUACUGUGGCUCUAUAAAAAGCAGGCUUUCUAAUUUUGAGUACCGAUCCCUUAAUCAGAGCUAUGCCAAAAGUUUGAUAUGAACCUUAAACCCAAAAUCUACCUGGGUUUGAGUUAAUACACAAUGGCCUAAUGACUUAACUGUUUUAUUCAAACAUUGUUUGCUACCUGUCAGUGUCAUUUUAAACUCUUUAGCUCUGUCUGGAUAUCCAUGAACUCGAUUGAGGUAGCUGUUUGUGCUGUCUUGAGUUCUGUCUGCAUUAGUCGGAGUAGCUCAUGUGAUAUCUUAAUAUGGCUACCCGGCUCUACUUCAUGUUCCAAGGAACAACAAUUGGAUAUGUAAAACUUGCUCAAAUUUCAGAUGCUGCAAACUGAUUAAAUAUGACAGAACUUGAAGGGUGGUUGAGAACCGCUCCACUGAAGAGCUGAUAUUAAUCUCAACUAUAAUUCCAAUUCAACAUUAGAGGUCUGAAUGUUUUUUGGGGAGGGCUUUGGCAUUUUAAGAUAAUUCUAAAACCCCUAAGAAUUAUUCUCACAUUAGACAUUUUAUUCUAGAUUUACAAAAUAUCAUGAUUUGGGGUCGUCUCCCUGCAUCUAAAUUCAUAUUUUCACUUCUUGAC